rnacentral:tRNA from 1 species
CGCGCUCCAGGCGGACAGGCCCAGCCACCGGGGCCCGGGGCCCCGGGCCCGCAGACGUCGGGCCAGUUCCGUACAGACGAGCGCGCCCA